rnacentral:rRNA from 1 species
AGAGUUUGAUCAUGGCUCAGAACGAACGCUGGCGGCGUGGAUAAGACAUGCAAGUCGAACGCUAAUUCAAGGGUAGCAAUAUUCUUGAGUUGGAGUGGCGCAAGGGUGCGUAACACGUGGGCAAUCUGCCGUGAAGUUGGGGAUAACUCGCUGAAAGGCGAGCUAAUACCGAAUGUGAUAACCGGGAGGCAUCUUCUGGUUAUGGAAGUUGGGGACCGCAAGGCCUGACGCUUCACGAUGAGCCCGCGGCCUAUCAGCUAGUUGGUAAGGUAACGGCUUACCAAGGCUAAGACGGGUAGCUGGUCUGAGAGGACGACCAGUCACACUGGAACUGAGACACGGUCCAGACACCUACGGGUGGCAGCAGUCGAGAAUUUUUCUCAAUGGGCGAAAGCCUGAAGGAGCGACGCCGCGUGGGGGAUGAAUGGCUUCGGCCCGUAAACCCCUGUCAUUUGCGAACAAACCUCGUGAUUUAAAAGAUGACGAGCUGAUUGUAGCGAAAGAGGAAGGGACGGCUAACUCUGUGCCAGCAGCCGCGGUAAUACAGAGGUCCCAAGCGUUGUUCGGAUUCACUGGGCGUAAAGGGUGCGUAGGUGGUCGGGUAAGUCUGAUGUGAAAUCUCCGAGCUUAACUCGGAAAUGGCAUUGGAUACUAUUCGGCUGGAGGGUUGGAGGGGGGACUGGAAUUCUCGGUGUAGCAGUGAAAUGCGUAGAUAUCGAGAGGAACACCAGUGGCGAAGGCGAGUCCCUGGACAACUCCUGACACUGAGGCACGAAAGCUAGGGGAGCAAACAGGAUUAGAUACCCUAGUAGUCC